rnacentral:rRNA from 1 species
GAUGAACGCUGGCGGCGUGCUUAACACAUGCAAGUCGAACGGAAAGGCCCAAGCUUGCUUGGGUGCUCGAGUGGCGAACGGGUGAGUAACACGUGGGUGAUCUGCCCUGCACUUUGGGAUAAGCCUGGGAAACUGGGUCUAAUACCGGAUAGGACCAUCGUUUAGUGUCGGUGGUGGAAAGUUUUUCGGUGUGGGAUGAGCUCGCGGCCUAUCAGCUUGUUGGUGGGGUAAUGGCCUACCAAGGCGCCGACGGGUAGCCGGCCUGAGAGGGUGUACGGCCACAUUGGGACUGAGAUACGGCCCAGACUCCUACGGGAGGCAGCAGUGGGGAAUAUUGCACAAUGGGCGCAAGCCUGAUGCAGCGACGCCGCGUGGGGGAUGACGGCCUUCGGGUUGUAAACUCCUUUCGCCAAGGACGAAGCGUUUUGUGACGGUACUUGGAGAAGAAGCACCGGCUAACUACGUG